ACAUUUUCCGUAAAGUGUACACAAACCGUUAGACUUUUUAAACGCGUAGACAUAUUUGACUGUAGUAGCUUGAUUUUGGUAGGCAUUUUUAAUGUAGACGUUUUGACUGUAUACUAAAAAAAGGUAGCCUUUUUUUCUGUAGACGUACCGUCUGCAUACCACAUUUCUUUAUGUUCUAGUUCCCAUAUUAACAAAAACUGUCGGUUACUUUUUCUCACUUUGCGUCCUUCUCUUUGAAUUUUCACAGUUAAACCAACUUGCAAGCCGGAGCAAAAACGAGUUUACGGUGUGGCUCGGCACGAAGAUGCGAAAGUGAUCUGUGAAGUAGAUUCCUACCCGCCGCCGGAUUCUUUCCGAUGGUCCUUCAACAAUACGGCCGAGACAAUCGAGGUGCCCCAAUCCCGAUAUAGCUCGGGGGAGAACGUCGAUCCUUGUCUAUUCUGACGUACAAGCCCGUCUCGGAAAUGGACUACGGCUCCGUCAUGUGCUGGGCCACCCAACACCGCUGGCUCGCAGAAGGAGCCAUGCGUCUUCCAUAUCGUUGCCGCUGGCAAGCCAGAUCCUCCGUACAAUUGUUCCUUGUCCAACCAAACCGCUAAUUCUCUGGAAGUUGAAUGCUUGGAAGGAUUUGAUGGAGGAUUGACUCAAAUUUUUAUUCUAGAAGUUUUUGAUCUACAAACAAACACCUUAGAAGCCAAUCUUUCAUCUCCAUCAAGAUGUGUGUUCCUAGUCAACGACUUGAUGCCAGGGAAAUUACUUAGAAUACGUAUUUUCGCUACAAAUGGCAAAGGCCGAAGUGAAUCCAUUUACCUGGAGGGAUUCACCUAAAUACAGCCGAGAAACAGACGGGUAUGCCAGCGAAUUUUGAGCUGACCCCUGUCCUUGGCGCUGUUUUACUACUAAGUGUAAUCAUACUCAUAGUGACCUUAGUUGGGAUCGCCUUGCUGCGAGCGAGAACGACGCAUAGCAGUAGGAUUCCAAUCACGAGGCCCUCAGAUCUGGCCCUAGUCAAGAUAAAACGAACGUACCUUUGCGGUCUAAUAUCCAGAACUUAUACGAUGACAAAAAUCCGGAUGUUAUACCCAUGUAAUAAUAAAGAUUCAGACUAUCAACUAGUGAAUGGCUCUAACUGUGAUGUAGGAAGCAAGCAAAGUACGCUUAGCAACAAGUUCAAUCUCAACAGCUCAGGAAAUAUCACGCCAAACAAACAGACUGAUUUAUACGAUAGUUUUAAAAAGAAUGCCACCGCUCGGAUUCAGGUAGGUAAUCAACUUCUCUCAUCCCACAACCAAAAAAGCAUUGUGCACCUCUGAUAUUUUACUGACACUAUUCGU
rnacentral:lncRNA from 1 species